AUGCGUCAAAAGAUGGUCACAAGAGCCUUUCCUAAUGAGCCCUUUCGGCUUCCCUGGUGGCUUAGCUGGAAAAGAAUCUGCCUGCAAUGCGAGAGACCAUGGUUCGAUUCCUGGGUGGGAAAGAUCCUCUGGAGAAGGGAUAGGCUACCCACUCCAGUAUUCUUGGGCUUUCCUUGUGGCUCAGCUGGUAAAGAAUCUGCCUGCAAUGCAGGAGACCUGGAUUUGACCCCUGGGUUGGAAAGAUCCCCUGGAGAAGGGAAAGGCUACUCACUCCAGUAUUCAGGCCUGGAGAAUUCCAUGGACUGUAUAGUCCGUGGGGUUGAAAAGAGUCGGACACGACUGAGCGACUUUCACUUUCACUUUACAACCAUCAUCCUGAUUUGUUCCUACAACAAGCGGUGUGAAGAGUCCUUGGGCUGCUCCUUGGAAAAGAGACAAUGGAGGGAGAAGGUACUGACGAGGAGUCUCAUGGGAACAGAUCCAGGAUUCUACCCACAGGCGUGGCUCAUCCAGUUCUGCCAGAAGGAAACCAGCUUGCCCCGGUAACCUGCAUCUUCAUGAGAAUGUCCAGAACUCAUCUGGG
rnacentral:lncRNA from 1 species